UACGUAGGGUGCGAGCGUUAAUCGGAAUUACUGGGCGUAAAGCGCGUGUAGGCUGUUUCGCAAGUCGGAUGUGAAAGCCCUGGGCUCAACCUAGGAAGUGCACUCGAAACUGCGAAACUGGAGUCCUGGAGAGGAAGGCGGAAUUCUCGGUGUAGAGGUGAAAUUCGUAGAUAUCGAGAGGAACACCGGUGGCGAAGGCGGCCUUCUGGACAGUGACUGACGCUGAGACGCGAAAGCGUGGGGAGCAAACAGG
rnacentral:rRNA from 1 species